CCUUCCUGGAGGUGUCUGCGAGGCACAGUCCCUUCCUAGCAGCCCCAAGGGGGCCCAAGCCGAUGUGCGGCAUCUGGCAUCUAUGGUUCUAGCCUUUUCUCUACCCGUCCUCCCCAUAGUAGAAGUGAGGGAAAUCAAAGCGCACAAAACGCCACCUUUGAAUCUGUGACGGAUCAAAGUACGGAUUUUCUGUACUUUUGAAUAUCUACAACAGCCCCUCCCCCAAAUGGAUGACUGCAGACACAGGAAGUUGAUUGUGCAACUACACACACACACACCACACACACAACACAGCCCUGCAUCCUACUCACGUUGCAUACAUUUUUGGACGGUCAUCUGAAAACCUGAUGUGAAUAUCCACGGAAAGAGUUUCAUAUAUUACUGUGACAUCCUUAUUAAUAUGAGAAGAAAGGAGAGGGCUGGGGCCGGCUCAUAGGCCUGCAAGCUGUGUCCGGUAUAAAGGCUUCGGUUUACGGGUUAAUUCUUCCAUCUGCUGGAGAGGCUGCCUUCUCAGGCGUAUCGGAGAGAGGAAGAUUUAUCACCCAAGGCUCUGCUGUCACUGGGAAUGCAGGUGAUGGCUCCAGCGGGUGAAGAACACAAGUGACAUCAGUGCAGCCUGGGGAUGGCCACGGCGGUGAUACUCCAAUGGCUGGUUCUGAGCAGAGAGUCUCUUACUGAAAUCUAGGCGCGCUGACUAAUCUUCACCAAGAAUAAACUGGGAAGAGCAUUAGUUAUAGAAAUAGAACAAUUGUCCUGAGCUUAAAAAAAAAUGUGCUCUGUAGAUGAGUCAAAUUCCCUAUCAUCUUUAAUGUGGGGGGAAGCAAGGUCCUGUGCAGAAUGUUUGCGACAGUCUUCAGAGAAAUGCAAGAGGAGGAAAUGUGAGCUUUCAGACUGCAGCCUAGUACCGAGUGGAACGGGGCCUCUUUCUGGGACCCGGACCAGGAAAGGGGUUUCUCCAAAAGCAGAGUUAGGAGAAGGUUUUAUGUAGCACUAAAUAAAAUGUCAUCUUUGCCAUUUCUUCUCUGAAAUUGUGAAUAGCUAAAUAGAUGUCUGCCCAUGCAAGUCCAGUCCAUGGAUUAUUCGAGCAAAACACUAAUCCGACACCUAUUUUAUGAAACUCAUGAUAGAGUUUGUGCUGAGGACUGACAGCUACCAGCCAUGGCGCUAAGCCGUAUCUCCAUCUCCAGCAUUUACAACGCCCCUGUCCUUUUAUAGAUAAGGAAAUUAGGAUUCAGCAAGGCAAAGAAUUUACCCAAGGCCACAAAUGGAUUUCCUCAAUUUCAAAAUGCCAUCGAUUGCAGGGCUUACCAUUGACCUCAUAACUGCUUUUCAGGGUUCAACAAAAAAGUACCCUCCAUUAAGUGUAAAGCUCUGCAGUAAGAUAAAUUUUGCUCGCAAAAACACUAAAGUUUGAUGGAGAAAAGGAUCAUCGGGAAUGCACAGUUUGACAGGUUGCAAGUUCAAGGUCUGUCUGGUACAAGACCAGGCUGUGCACCGCAGCCCUUUCGUUUCCGACUCUGUGCGUUAGGUGGCAAUGGUGGCAGGUGACAAUUGAGAAGACAUGUGUUCCUACUCCAUGGUGGCUGUUCUGUAGGAGCUGCUGUUAAGCCUGAUCACAGCGGUCACGGAUUCCCCAACGUCUCCACCCAUUUCUUAUUCUGCAAAUGACCUUACUUGUGACAGGCCCUGAGGGACAGUGGAGAGCAAACCGCCCAGUCUUGGGGUUUGCACCCAGCUGGGAGGAAGUGGGAAAAAGGUGCUAGGCAUUAUAAAAUAAUCACCCAGACCAAUAGGAGGUAGAACUAAAGCAUGUGACACCCAGGGGAGGUUCUCAGUGCUCCCAAGAUUCAGGGAGAUUGUGAACUGCUUUUCUGACCUGCGGCCUGAAAAGUGAGGAGGUUUUGCCUUCACUAGGAGAGGAAGAGUGUGCUUAGCAGAGGGCAGAGCACAUGCAAAGGCCCUGUGCUAGAAGGAGCAGGAAAGGUGCAAGGAAAUGAGAGCAAGCCAUUGUCCUCAGAGCGAAGGGAGUGGGGAGGCUGGCAAGGUGGUGGGAGUAUCAUGGAGGAUUUCAGAAGCCAGCAGGCCACUGUCCAAAGUAGCAGGCAGAACACAGAUUUUGCAGCCAGUCUCUUUGGGCUUAAGUCUGAUUCUACUUCUUCUGAGCUGUUACUUCACCUGUUUGUUCAUAUGAAACAUGAGGAUCUGCAGAAGGUCUACCUCCCUGUUUUCCAUAAUUUUUCAGUUUGUUCUUUACAUUACUUAACUUGAGUUUCUCAUGCAAGGGAAACCCAUGCAAUAUUUAACCUUCUGUGUCUGAUUUAUUUCACUUAGCAUUAUGGUCUCAAGGUGCAUCCAUUUUCCUACAGACAACUCUACUUUAUUCUUCCUUGUAGCUGAGUAGUGAUCCAUCGUGCGUGCAUACACACUUUUGAAAUGGCAAAGUCGCUAACUGCCUAUCAAUACUGCAGAGGACAGUGACUAAGACACCAGCGGACACACUGCACAUGGGCUCAUUUUCCAUGCUCACGCAUUCCUGGGUGCACCUCUUCACCAAGGGAAGAGCGAACAGCCCAGAAAACAGUGGCAGCGAUCUGAUGCAGUCUGAAGGAGGAGAAGCCGUGUUAUUUGCUCUGGACGCAGAACAGUUUGAUUUACACUCACAGAGUAGUGUUUAAUCCAGCACCUGUACCCAACAGGCAAUCCCAUGGCAUCUGACAAAUCCCGCUCUUCAACCUUUAGAAUCCCCUGCUUUGGUAGUUGGUUAGCAUUGCUUUGGUGAUACUGAUUAAAGCUAUCACGUGUCUUAUGGUAUUUCUGAAAUGUCUUUGUUAAGUGAAGCACGCUCUAUUCCAAUAAGUUAAACGUGAAAGGGUAUUUUCUAAAAUAGUAGUUCCUACUUUAUAAGGCUUUCCACAAUCUAAAUAACCUCAAGUCCCAUGGCCCAACAUUCCUUUCCUUUCUUCUUUUUCUAUUCGAGGGAAUAAGAAAUAAAAAGAGGAAGGAGAAACAAAAGGAGCCAGAUCAAAACGACAAAAGGAGCCCUUUCUACCGAGGGAUAACCGUCGUGUCAUAACAGGAACAGCUGUGAUACAGUCAUCAUCGAGCUGCGUAGAACUUAUGUUGAGUCACUUUACAUAUGCUUCUCACUUAGUCCUCACAAGCUAAUGGGAGAAGUCUGACUAGCCCGAUGCUUUGCGGCUCAAGCAGCUGCAUGUUAGCAGGUCAAGCUCACCAAGGCGGGAAGCCUUCGAGCUAGGAUUCUUGAGUCAAAUAUUUUCAGUGAGUGUGACUGCUGUUGUUUCCCAGCUUGGCUUGCUGUCAUUUGAAUACCAGCGAACACCUCGACUCAGUAGUAAUUUAUGCGCAGGAUGCAUUUGUUAAGUGUGUAUCCAAUCCAGGUAGAAAUACAAGGGUGAAAAUUGUCCACUCAGCCCCUGCAAAAGUCCAGGCAAGUCGCCGGCUAAUUCUUUUCCUGAGUAAUUGUUUGCAAAGAAGCAAAGAGUGAAUGGCCUGGACGCCUUCCUUCAGUUCAUCCCCGCAUUGAAAGGAUGCCACUGAGGACUUACCCAGAGCCAGGGUCUGUGCUGGUCAGUGGGAGCCAGGGUAAGAACACAGUUCCUUCUCUUAGGGGUGUUCAAUGGCCUCUCCUUAGGGCUAGGAAACUUUCCCACCCUGAUUACGUGGGAAAGACACAAGGCCUCCAAAGCCUAAGCCUGGAAGUGACCCGAGAGGUCAUCUUCAUGUGAAAGGGGGACAGCUGACCGGUCAGACCAUAGUGAGGUGUCACACAGGCCUGGGUUCAAGUCCAGGGUCUGUUCCCUACUAGCCGGACCUUCUCCUUGGGGGUCCCAUUAGUGCACACCCUAGACAGCUGAGGUAAAGUUUAACCGGACGACAUAAAGUCUUUAGCUCAGGACCUGUGUGCAGUAAGUGUCCUGUAAAUCUUUAACCUCGACAUCGCUGUUGCUACCCUGCUUUCUGUCUGUGUGCACCAGCUUUGGGCGUUUUGGCAAGUUGAAAGCUUCUGUGUUAUAUCUACUUAUCUGUCCUGCAGAUACUUUUGACAAGGCCGAUACCUUCCGUGACUCUUCACAGCACGGACUGCAGCCCAGAGGCCUCCUGUGGCCUUGGCAGGCUUCUAAGCUGCCUUCCGUAGUGCAGGCUCCCUCCCUGCUCCUCAGACCCUCUGUCACCUGACCUCCUUCAACUCACCCUCCGUAACUCCCAUAACUGGGAGCUGCGUGGCCAACCCAGUCACUCCCCGGCCGGCCAGUUGUUCCUGAUGCCUUGCGAAGAGACUCAAAAUGCUCCCGGGCCCUGCAAACCCCUACAGACUUCUCCGACAUCACUCCUGCCAAUUUCCUGUGCGUCUCUCAGAACAGCCACCUCUGCAGACUCAAAACACCAAGCCCUCUCUUGCCCCAGGGCCUUUUUGCCUUCUGUCCCCUCUUUCAGAAUGACCUGCCUCGUCUCCCCUGCACUUACCUGCCUGCUUAAGUGCCAAAGGUGGCCCUCCUUCCCCGCUAGACCUUUUGCUGAACUGAGGACUACACCAGGUAGGGGAGUAGACAUCUGUUCAUGCCCCAAACUUCCUGGGUGCCAGGGAGGUGACUGCUGAUGGGACAAACCCAGAGGAACACAGGGCCUGGAAAGCAGAUCCGGAGUCAGCAAGGGAAGGUUCUACGAUGCUAAGAGAGGUGCGGUGGUCACAUUCAGCAUGGCUCUGCAGGCUUCUCAGCUGCCCACAUGGCCCUGAGCAUGAGAAGGAGGUGACUGGUGCUUCAUGUUGGCAACAGGCCUGUCUGGAACUUUCCUUCCGCGGCUGUGGUAGGAAGCUGAUACGAGAUGAUGCAGGUCUCAACGUGAACACUGGUUUGGGGCUGACAAAAUCUGAUUGUCUUGUGUAUAAAGCACAGAUGCAUGUGCACUUUUCAUUUUAGUGGGGGAGGAGGAGGUCAGGAAAACUGAAUGUCUGCAGGAUCUAGAGUUCACCUAGCAGCCCCUAUGUGGGUAGGGCUUUGCUGACUCCGUAUUAGGACAAGUGACACUGCAGUUCACCCCGCUGCAAGUUGUGGGGCAGGGCCUGGAUGCCCCAAGUCCCACACUCUUCCAGAAGAAAAUAUGUCUUCUAGGAGCUUGUUAUGGUUUGUGUCUGGAUGUCCUCCCCAAAGCCUCAUGAAUUCUUGGGAAGUGGGCUUU